GCGCCUGUAGCUCAAAGGAUAGAGCAUUGGAUUUCUAAUCCAAGGGCUGUGGGUUCGAGUCCCGCCAGGCGCACCA
rnacentral:tRNA from 1 species